rnacentral:rRNA from 1 species
CUAAGGUCCCAAAAUGUGUGUUAAGUGGAAAAGGAUGUGGGAUUUCGAAGACAACCAGGAUGUUGGCUUAGAAGCAGCCAUACAUUAAAAGAGUGCGUAAUAGCUCACUGGUCGAGUGACUUUGCGCGGAAAAUUUAACGGGGCUAAAACGUACACCGAAGCUUAGGCUUGCAACUAUGUUGCAGGGGUAGGGGAGCGUUGAAUGAGGGGUGAAGUCGUAGCGAAAGCGACGGUGGACUUCAUUCAAGUGAGAAUGCCGGAAUGAGUAGCGAGAAUUAUGUGAGAAUCAUAAUGGCCGAAAGCCUAAGGUUUUUGGAGGAAGGUUCGUCCGCUCCAAGUAAGUCGGAAGCUAAGGUGAGGCUGAAAAGCGUAGCCGAUGCACAAACGGUUGAAAUUCCGUUACCACAGAAAGAUUUAAACUAAGGGACACUUUUGAAGAGCUGAUGCCGGGUGUUGGUUACCCCGGUCGUAAGGGAACGAAAUCAAGUAGUGAAGUCAGCGUGGAUGAAGGCGAGAAAAGCUUAGUGUAUAUCUUAUGUGUCCGUACCGCAAACCGACACAGGUAGGUAGGAAGAGAAUUCUAAGGCCAACGGGAGAAGGGUAGUUAAGGAACUCGGCAAAAUGUCCCCGUAACUUCGGAAUAAGGGGAGGUUUCUACGGAAACCCGCAGAGAAUAGUCCCAGGCAACUGUUUAUCAAAAACACAGCUCUAUGCUAAAUCGAAAGAUGACGUAUAUGGGGUGACGCCUGCCCGGUGCCGGAAGGUUAAGAGGAGGAGUGAGAGCCCUGAAUCGAAGCCCCGGUAAACGGCGGCCGUAACUAUAACGGUCCUAAGGUAGCGAAAUUCCUUGUCAGGUAAGUUCUGACCCGCACGAAUGGCGUAAUGAUCUGGGAGCUGUCUCAACUGCCCGCCCGGCGAAAUUGUAGUACCGGUGAAGAUGCCGGUUACCCGCGACUAGACGGAAAGACCCCAUGGAGCUUUACUGUAGCUUAAUAUUGGAUUUCGGCAUUUCAUGUACAGGAUAGGUGGGAGACUAGGAAACAUAGGCGUCAGCUUAUGCGGAGUCGUCCUUGGGAUACCACUCUUGGAGUGCUGAAAUUCUAACCUGCAGCCCUGAAUCGGGUUGGGGGACAUUGUUAGGUGGGCAGUUUGACUGGGGCGGUCGCCUCCAAAAAGGUAACGGAGGCGCUCAAAGGUUGGCUCAGCAUGGAUGGAAACCAUGCCAUAGAGUGCAAACGCAAAAGCCAGCCUGACUGCGAGACUGACGGGUCGAGCAGAAACGAAAGUUGGAGUUAGUGAUCCGGCGGUAUGUGAAUGGAAAUGCCGUCGCUCAACGGAUAAAAGCUACCCUGGGGAUAACAGGCUGAUCUCCCCCAA